rfam:Equus caballus chromosome 2, whole genome shotgun sequence.
AUGUGUUACAGCUCUUUUAGAAUUUGUCUAGCAGGUUUUCCCCCACCCCC